GAGGGUAUAGCUCAAGUGGUAGAGUACAUGCUUAGCAUGCAUGAGGUCCUGGGUUCAAUCCCCACUACCUCCU
rnacentral:tRNA from 1 species